rnacentral:rRNA from 1 species
UACGGAGGAUCCAAGCGUUAUCCGGAUUUAUUGGGUUUAAAGGGUGCGUAGGCGGUUUGAUAAGUUAGAGGUGAAAUGUUAGGGCUUAACCCUGAAACUGCCUCUAAUACUGUUGAGCUAGAGAGUAGUUGCGGUAGGCGGAAUGUAUGGUGUAGCGGUGAAAUGCUUAGAGAUCAUACAGAACACCGAUUGCGAAGGCAGCUUACCAAACUAUAUCUGACGUUGAGGCACGAAAGCGUGGGGAGCAAACAGG